GUGCAAAGGAGGCCGAUGGGACGAGGAGAGGGGGCCGGAGCGAUGAGAGUGAUGAACAACGACUUGUCAAUUCAGUGCACAGAUUAACCCGAGGUCCAAUCGAGCGGCGGUUAAUUAACACACCAGCAUCUAUCACUGACAUUACUGAUGGGUUUAAUCUUUACUAGAGUCUUCAUGGGACUUUCAAGGUUUUUGGAGACAACCAGGACCAAGUUUAAUUUAAAAGAGCCUAUCAAAUUUUUAUGUAUUAAAGAGGGAAGAAGAAGAAGAGUCUUUGAUUCUUUCUUAUGAAAAUAAAAGCAUAACUCUCCUCAACAA